rnacentral:misc_RNA from 1 species
GAUGAAGGAACGCAGCGAAAUGCGAUAAGUAGUGUGAAUUGCAGAAUUCAGUGAAUCAUCGAAUCUUUGAACGCACAUUGCGCCCUUUGGUAUUCCUUAGGGCAUGCCUGUUCGAGCGUCAUUUAACCCCUCAAGCUCAGCUUGGUGUUGGGCGUCCUGUCCCGCUCGUCCCCCUCGUUGGGGCGGGGACUCGCCUCAAAUCGAUUGGCGGCCGGUACGUUGGCUUCGAGCGCAGCAGAAACGCGAACUCGAUGCCCGGCGACCCGGCUCCCACAAGCCACACAUCUAAUUUUGACCUCGGAUCAGGUAGGGAUACCCGCUGAACUUAAGCAUAUCAAUAAGCGGAGGA